GCGCCGUGCCCCCGCCACCCACCUCCCGGCUCGCCGUGCCGCACUCCCGCCUCCCACCUCCAACCUCCUGGAUUGCCGCGCUUACUGCUCGCCGACGCGCCCUAGCCCGCCGAUGCGCCCCUUCCCGGCUCCUAGCUCCACCCUGCCCCAGCAAAUCCUACCCCUAAUCCGUGCACCGGCGAAGCAAGCCACCACAUCUGGCGACGGCUACCAGGCUUUCCCCGUCGCUGAUGCGCGACCAAUCCGCUCCAGGCUCCCCCCGCCGCUCGGCUUUCCGUCCACCAGCCGUCGAUCUGGAACAGGAUGCACCAGCACGUGGGAGGUUGGACGGACUGCAAAGUAAUAGCCCGGUUAAUCAUUACCCUUUUUGCAAUAUACCUUUACUAUGUCCCUCAUUUGACAGUUGUCUCUAUGUUGGAUUUAUGUUCUCUACAGAACAAUGGGAUGUAUGCAUAAAACACACCAGCUUACUUCCUUAAGUAAGUCAUCGUGGUGCAUGGAAGUUUGUAGAUCUAAUAAAUGGAAUGCUGAGCAAUGGAUCAUUACUAAACUUGUUUGCGAAGUAGAAAAUGCCUCUAAGAAAACAAACUGAUACAUGCAUACAUCUCUCCUAAGGUAAUCAUCAUGCAUAUAUGAUUUAGAGACAAAUGUAAUGCUAAGCAAUGAUAUUUAUUUGAUUACUAAACCGAACCUGCUUAUGUCCUAAAGAAAAAUGGUUGUCAAGAACCUUAUCAUUCAUGGGUUUUAUAUAGUGUAAAAGUAUAACUCUGGUGUGACUGUGUGCUAGGGAACAAUGAGUUUCAAGUUUUGCUAGCAAAAAAUAUUUUUGGCAGUUCAAUAUAAAAAGUGAAAUCAGUUAGCUGAUGUCAAAAUAAUUCAGUUAUAUAUGUGUACACCACAGUAGCAGUUCGGUACAAAAAAUUACAUCAGUUUGUUAAACAAAAAAUAGAAACACAUUUUCUGGUUUAGCGCCUAUACUAAAAAGCAGCUUGGUAGCUAGUUUUUUUAAGUUCCCUGCGCGAAAUGCAGAAAGUUCGAUUAGAACAAUCGUGGAAGUUGGAAAAUAUAUAAACCCAUGUGGCUGCCCAACAUAUUCUAUGUAAAAAGCAAACACUAUGUAUUCUAUGGGUGCUAGAGAAUCAGCAAAGUUCUAUGCGUGCCCAGAACCUGUUUGCUGUAAUGUUUCUAAGAAACUGGACUUCAUUUAGGUUCUCUUUUUUGGUUGAAUUUAUUUAUUUCACAUGAAAUCAAACCUAGCUAUGUCGUAUUGCUGCAUCUAGCUAUGGAGCAGUACACAUAUUUAAACUUUCAUAUAGUUGCAAAAACAUGAAUUCUCAUUCCCAAAAACCUACAAAAAACAUCAAUUUAUAUUGAUAGUUGUUCUAGUCCUUAUGUCACAACAGUGCAAUGACAACAAACUCAUCAGUUCAAAAUGCUAAUGCUGUAGAGAUCUUGUGAAUUCUGUAGAGGGAGUAACCUAAAAAAAUGAAAUACAUUAGCGUGAACAGCCAGCGGUUCAUCUUCCAAAAUGGAUUUAUAUUAUGUUAAUCACCGGUGUGCUCUUGUUGUCAGUUCGUGUGUGCUCUUGUCAUCAGGUCAUGUGCCAAUUUGUUAUCAGUUUUGUGUGUAUGUGAGUUGGUAAACCAUGUGUGGCUGCUGUAGAAAAAAGGCACGGGGAUGUGCUGCCCUCAGUUCUCUCUCGAUAAAUCUAGCAGUGCAGGUUCUCCGGUGCGCCAAGUAUUGCCAGCGGUGAUGCCUGCAUCAUGGCCCAUUCGAGAGAUGCUACUUUUGUGUAUGCAUAUUUAUCUUUAUUAGUUUUUGUGUUCUCUUGUUUGCCCCAAUUGAUCCUUGUGUUAAUGUUUGUAUAUGUUGUGCGCUUCUGGUCCCAUCAUGAAGUGAAAAAUGACAAGCGAGCUAAGUACUAGUUCGGAAAGUUUGCAAGUUCGAACACAUAAACCUAAAGUUCAUUGAAAAAGUUUGGUUUGCCUGUUCCGUGAAAAUGUCUUGCUAAAGAAAUAUCUCUUAUGCACUUAUUUAUUUGCCUGAAUAUUUGGUUUGAUUCUCAGGUGCGAUAUGGCGGCCACCGACGUUGUUGCUAAAUCCAUCUACAAACUAGUGGAUGGCUGCUCCCAGCGGUAAAUGUGGUCGGGUUCAGCAGCUAGCUCUUCCUCGAGCAACCAUUCUUGUGGUAGUGUAACAAGUCCAGCUCAUCAUCGUCAGUCCAAGGUCAAGUCACUGCCCAAAAAUAAUUUGCUGUCGAGGCCAAACGCCUCGUGCAAAUUAACCCUGAACUAAUGAGUGCAGCGAUGGGCCAUUAUUUUAAUUUCCAGGUGCACGCGACAUCUCUGGUCGCGUGGCCGGCACCAUUAUCUUACAUUUUUGUUUCUGCACUAAGUUUCUUAUGUAUUGUUCACAAAAUUUUAGUGAAAAUUUUACUUCACGUUACCUCGUGAUCUCGCAACUGUAUGUUCACCUGUGAAGGUAUCUCUCAUUGCUUAUUGUUACAUUAUUUCCCAUGGUAAGAAAGGUUCACAUUAAAAGUAACAUCCAUAUAGGAAAAAUGCUUCUAUUCUAACACUUCUUUUUAAAAAAGAGCACUAGUACUAAAGAGUCGUACUGACAAGGAUGCCAUCUACAAUUCUGAUGAGUCGUACUCACAAGGACAUAAUUAUUGUGCAAAUGGAAAAAACAAAUGUUUUAUAAAGAAAUGUGCUUGAAGUUCAAUUACUAUGGUCUAAAAAAUUCAUUUAGAUCGCUAGUGCAUUCAGAAUUGCUAAUUUUAAAAAAAUGAAGUUCCUAUUUUAGGAUUAUGUAAGUUCAAAAUUAUUGUAUGAUGUGUGUGCCAUAGUUAUCUGAACUACAAUUCUGACUAGUAUUCCAUUAUAGUACUGCUGCAUAUUCACUUUUGAUUGCUUCUUGCUGCCCUAUUUUUAUCAUGAUUUUGUGUGUUCACCCAGGAGUGCUUUUGUUUCCAUAGGUCAGCUGCUCAACAACAGAAGCAUGUACCGCCCAGUACAUGUAUUACUAAUGCAAAGGUUAAAAAAAAUCAGAACUCAACAAGUUCAACGUUGAUGGUACUAUGCACAUGCGCUAAGUUGUUCUACAACAUAGGGCUAAGCCGUUCUACGCCGCAGCUUGGGAGCUGAAGGAGCUCCCCUUGGGUUCAUCUUGCAAGUUCUGUUCAAACUUGUCCACCUAGGUCAUUCAACAACAACACCAGAGCCCGUUCAGUUGGUGGCAUUCCUGCAGCUGCAGAUGUGGUGCUGACAAUACUAGGCGUUGGCUGUGUUUGAUCAAAUGCCUAGGAGCUCCCAUGAUUUACACAUGGAAUCUAGAUGAUUCCAUUUUUUCAUUCCCCAAGUACUUCAAUGGUGGCUCCUUCCCGCUUGGCUCAAUCGCUGCUGGAUUUAGGUGGGUGUAGGCGUAGGUUUUCAGGAGCAUGGACGGAUACGGGGAAGGUCGCACUGCUCUUGUGUUAUUCUCCAACAAUUGAGAAAUUGAUACUCAUUUUAAUGUGUAAGUUUACAUGCUCACACUUGUUCGUGCCAAUGCCAAAUAGCUUGAGAAUAGCAACCUGUUCGAGCUUAGCUGAGAGGAUUUUGAAUCGUUGUGUGAGGCACUGUGGGCACAGCCUUGAGAUAAUGCAUGUUGCUUUAACAGCUGCGAAUUUGAGAAAAUAUUCAACA